AUGACUUUCCCACUUUACUCAAAGAUCACCAGUCCUUUCCAAAAUUUCAAGAAUGUUCAAGUGCAGAUGAUCUCUAAAUGUUGUAAAAACAACAAUACAACAACAAAAUGUGCUGAUGCAAAACAUUUCAGAGAGAAGAUACUGAAGAAGAAAGAGAGGAGAAGUGAUGGAUUGCGCUGAGAGAUAUUGGAGGCAUGAGACGUGCGAGGUGCUGGACUCCAUGACCACUGUAAGUGGAGAGAGAGAUCUGUUUGACAAACGCCGUGCCCUGUACACGCUGUGUAAAAGCUGUCUGACAUCCCACUGUUGACAGGUUUGGCAGAAGAGCUGCAUUGGUGCUCAGAAGUGGAAUUUCAGUGAAUUUUGUUGACUCAAAGUUCACUUUCCCAAGACAAAUAUACUUGAGGGGCGAAACCUCCCCCAGACUUCAUCCGCUGUUUCUCUUUGUAUUUUUGGUUUGAUGGAUAUCAUGUUCCUUUUGUUCUGUUUUUGCCUGGUAAAUGUACAGCACAGUCACUGUUUACAUUAAGGUGUAGCAUUGGCUAAACAAAUCUUAUUAUAUUAUACAGAAAGAGUGACUUUCAGCUGACAGAUAUUUAAUUACACAAUCCGUUGUGCUUUUGCCAUUUAAAUAGGUGUUAUCUCGCCGCUGAGCUGCUGUACAAUGUCAGAGGUCUUUACAAGUGAGUGAAAAUGUCCUCGGCUUUAUUCAGCAUUGGGAUUUAAUAUAAAUUUAUCUCCCCUCAAAAAAGCAUUUCCAUUACAGGAUAAAAUCCAUACUGAGUCUCAAGUCUGACACUCGCGAGACAUCCCUUGAGUUAGACUGACCUAAGAGAACGUGUGAAGUGCAAGCGAAUCGAUUAAAACAUUUGUGUGUGUCAUAAUCGUAACUGUUGGCUUAGAGAUAUCAAUGUCAUCCCGAUGCCACGUGGGGAAUUUAAGGCAUCUUUUCCUGUGAAUUUAUUCUGACAUGGAGGUGACAUCGCCAUAUAUAAAGCUUCUAUUAAUAAAACGCUGACAGCCAAAUGUGCCCGGCACUCCUCCAGGGUUUACUCAGGUUUUUUAAGAUGCAAAGUCUGCCAUUGUGAGUCUCCAAAGGAACACGGAAAUGUGUUCUAAUGUGUGUUACUUGCAUCAGAGAGAUGUUUAUUUGUAGGUAAUGGUUUGUGGAAAAAUCUUCGCUCCAUCAUCUGCAGGACCACCCUUUCUGAGAGAGGCAGGGCGGUAAAUCCAGAGGCGUUUGGCUGUUGAUGGAGUUCUGGGGGACGGCAGCGAUUGCACCUCACUUUAUGAGUGAUUUAGGAUGAGUUUUUCCCUCAAUGUUUUAGUCAUUACUCUUAAUCACACACUUCAGCCAUUCUGUCCGCUUCCGUCGCCCAUUUCCUCUGUCUUCAGGCUGACAUUGACGGAUCGCAGACACCCGCUGUAUCUCCUCUGAGCCAGACA
ensembl:lncRNA